AGCUUUGCGCAGUGGCAGUAUCGUAGCCAAUGAGGUUUAUCCGAGGUGCGAUUAUUGCUAAUUGUUUAUUCUAAUUCUGUGAAAAAUGCUUUUGAUUUUUUUUUUCUCAAGGAG
rnacentral:snRNA from 1 species